rnacentral:lncRNA from 1 species
UUCUACUGCUUCCAUUUCUCUUUGGGUUAUUUUUUUUUUUUUAGACUUGAAGGACACACCACUCUGAGCUGAAUUUUUUAUUAGGGACAACUUACACAGAGCCAAGCCACACCAUGAUAAGAGACUGCCAUUCAGAUCUACGUUAGAAACAAGAGCAUAUACUACAAAUAUAUGCUGCUGUCUUAACUAGUCCUGAGAUCUGACAGUCUGCCUCUGGUACAGGGGCGUCGCCGGCCUCCGGGACACGGGCAGGGAGCGAAGGCGAGAGAGCGACAGCCCCUGGCGGCCGCGGCGCUCUGGCGCCACCCAGUGGUGCCGCUGGGUGCGGCCGCGUCCGAGGGCGCCCGGGAGAGGCGGAGGACGGGGCGGCAAUCCCUCAGGGACAGUGACCCGUCUGGCUGCCGGGCCUCCGAGAGCCUGUGGCACUCCAAGGACAAUUUCUCUUUGUGAAGAAAUCAGGCAGUGCUGUGAAAUUACAUCAGAUGUAGCCUUGCUUAUUUUUUCCUAUUGUUGUCAACACAACAUAUGCAAACUCUUUUGGGCUGCCAACUCUCAUCUCUUACAUCAAGGAAACUGAAUCAUCCACCUUGGCCUAAAAAAGUUAACAGAACUUGUAUAAAUAUAUUUUGAUAAUGUCCUUGAGAUUCCCAAAGACACAAAGAAGCAGGAACAGUACGUACAUUUUUUCUUUUGCUGUUUGAAAAGCCAUGCCAUCAGUGACCAUUUGUACUUAGGUGAAAUUGCAGCACUGGAUCCUAUCAACACAAUAAAUAAAUAAACAGAUGAUUGUGGGUGCA